rnacentral:rRNA from 1 species
AGCGAACGCUGGCGGCAGGCCUAACACAUGCAAGUCGAACGGAUCCUUCGGGAUUCGUCGCGGACGGGUGAGUAACACGUGGGAACGUGCCCUUUGGUUCGGUACAACCCAGGGAAACUUGAGCUAAUACCGGAUGUGCCCUUCGGGGGAAAGAUUUAUCGCCAUGGGUGCGACGCGCGUCGGAUUAGGUGGUUGGUGAGGUAAGGGUCCACCAAGGCGGGGCGCAGUAGCUGGUGGGAGAGGAGGAGCCGCCGCACUGGGGCUGAGACACGGCCCAGACUGGUACGGGAGGGAGCGGUGGGGAAUCGUGGGGAAGGGGGGAAGGCGUGAGGGAGCCAUGCGGGGUGAAUGAUGAAGGGGUUAGGAUUGUAAAGUUCUUUCAGCGGGGACGAUAAUGACGGUACCGGCAGAAGAAGCGCCGGCUAACUUCGUG